GCAAGUCGAACGCCCUCUUCGGAGGGAGUGGCAGACGGGUGAGUAACGCGUGGGAACCUACCCAAGGGUACGGGACAACUCAGGGAAACUUGAGCUAAUACCGUAUACGUCCUUAGGGAGAAAGAUUUAUCGCCCCUGGAUGGGCCCGCGUUGGAUUAGCUAGUUGGUGGGGUAAUGGCCUACCAAGGCGACGAUCCAUAGCUGGUCUUAGAGGAUGACC
rnacentral:rRNA from 1 species